CCUACGGGCGGCAGCAGUGGGGAAUAUUGCACAAUGGGGGAAACCCUGAUGCAGCGACGCCGCGUGAGUGAAGAAGUAAUUCGUUAUGUAAAGCUCUAUCAGCAGGGAAGAAAAUGACGGUACCUGAGUAAGAAGCCCCGGCUAACUACGUACCAGCAGCCGCGGUAAUACGUAGGGGGCAAGCGUUAUACGGAUUUACUGGGUGUAAAGGGAGCGUAGACGGCAGUGCAAGUUGGGAGGGAAAGGCGGGGGCUCAACCCCCGGACUGCUGUGGAAACUGUACGGCUGGAGUGCAGGAGAGGUAAGUGGAAUUCCUAGUGUAGCGGUGAAAUGCGUAGAUAUUAGGAGGAACACCAGUGGCGAAGGCGGCUUACUGGACUGUAACUGACGUUGAGGCUCGAAAGCGUGGGGAGCGAACAGGAUUAGAUACCCCAGUAGUC
rnacentral:rRNA from 1 species